rnacentral:rRNA from 1 species
GUAGGUAGCAAGCGUUGUCCGGAAUUAUUGGGCGUAAAGCGCGCGCAGGCGGUUCUUUAAGUCUGAUGUGAAAGCCCACGGCUCAACCGUGGAGGGUCAUUGGAAACUGGAGAACUUGAGUACAGAAGAGGAAAGCGGAAUUCCACGUGUAGCGGUGAAAUGCGCAGAGAUGUGGAGGAACACCAGUGGCGAAGGCGGCUUUCUGGUCUGUAACUGACGCUGAGGCGCGAAAGCGUGGGGGAGCAAACAGGAUUAGAUACCCUGGUAGUCCACGCCGUAAACGAUGAGUGCUAAGUGUUAGGGGGUUUCCGCCCCUUAGUGCUGCAGCUAACGCAUUAAGCACUCCGCCCUGGGAGUACGGCCGCAAGGCUG